ensembl:lncRNA
AUCCCGAUGCAUGAUUCUGCCACCACAUUCCUUCACUGUAGGGAUGGUGCCAGGUUUCCUCCAGACGUGACGCUUGGCACUCAGGUCAAAGAGUUCAAUCUUGGUUUCAUCAGACCAGAGAAUCUUGUUUCCUAUGGUCUGAGAGUCCUUUAGGUGGCUUUUGUAAAACUCCAAGCGGGCUGUUCCUUUUACUGAGGAUUAGCUUCCAUCUGACCUGACCUGAUUGGUGGAGUGCUGCAGAGAUGGUUGUCCAAAUGGAAGGUUUUCCCAUCUCCACAGAGGAACUCUAGACCUCUGUCACAGUGACCAUCGGGUUCUUGGUCACCUCCAUAACCGUGGUCCUUCUCCCCCAAUUGCUCAGUUUGGCCGGACGGCUAGCUCUAGGAAGAGUCUUGGUGGUUCCAAACGUCUUCCAUUUAAGAAUGAUGAUCAGGCGUGCGGGUGCAGGCAGCGAACGGUUGAAAAGCAUGCAUUUGGUUUUACUAGCGUUUAAGAGCAGUUGGAGGCCACGGAAGGAGUGUUGUAUGGCAUUGAAGCUCGUUUGGAGGUUAGAUAGCACAGUGUCCAAGGACGGGCCGGAAGUAUAUAGAAUGGUGUCGUCUGCAUAGAGGUGGAUCAGGGAUGUACAUUUAGGUGGUUUAGACAUAGAUGCUCACAAUUGCAGGACAUUAGAACAUUGAUGUGAAAUGAACAUGAUACAUGAUGUCAUUUUCACUUCCAGACCCUUCCUCAAUGAUCCCCCUCUACAUCGGUCUCCGUGCCGGUAUCUAUGUUCUCAUCCUUCUGGUGGAAUCUCUCCUGUGUUUUCUCUGGUGUAGACACGGUGAUGAAUGAGGAAAUAACAGUAGGAGGAAGAGAACUCAAGUCUGCACUAUGCUAUAAGGAUGUGACCUUGCUGGGGAGUUCAAGUUGGAUAUGGCUGGAGAGUAUGAUGUGUCAAUGUUUUUAUAAACCAGAAGUCAAUAGGAGGAGAAGUUAUUCAAUUUGAACAAUUUGCAAUUUCCAUGCACCUUGUGAAUGUAUUUUUAUACUAUACACAGUGUUUAAUGUGUAAUGUGUUUGUAUAUGUAAAAUAUAGCAAUUUUAUUAGCAUUACAUUUUUUUCUGCUCUAGUAUGUUGUGUUUUUCCAGUGAAAAUAAAGCUUGUACAGUAUAUUGUAAAUAAUUGUUGGAAAUGUUGUUUCUUUUCUCUGGAAGAGAAAUUGUGUUGUUUAGAUUACACAGCUGUUGUGUUUCAACGGUCUGUCUCAUGAUGGUCAUUGAUCUACCUGAGCUUUAGCUGGGUGUUUUGUGUCUGUUUGUCAUGUAGACGUGGCCACAGUGGGGGUACUGCUCAUUGUAAGGUUCUGCUUUACUUUUUUUUAAGUCAACCUUGUGUUCUUUUUCUUUGUGUUCUUGAACGUAGCCCUGUUUCUUUGUGUUCUUGAACGUAGCCCUGUUUCUUUGUGUUCUGGAACGUAGCCCUGUUUCUUUGUGUUCUGGAACGUAGCCCUGUUUCUUUGUGUUCUGGAACGUAGCCCUG